UUUCCGUAGGUGAACCUGCGGAAGGAUCAUUACCGAGUGCGGGCCCUCUGGGUCCAACCUCCCACCCGUGUUUAUCGUACCUUGUUGCUUCGGCGGGCCCGCCGCAAGGCCGCCCGGGGGGCUUCUGCUCCCCCGGGCCCGCGCCCGCCGGAGACACCUGUGAACGCUUUUGUGAAGAUUGCAGUCUGAGCGAUUAGCUAAAUCGGUUAAAACUUUCAACAACGGAUCUCUUGGUUCCG
rnacentral:misc_RNA from 1 species